UAGGGAAUCUUCCGCAAUGGGCGAAAGCUUGACGGAGCAACGCCGCGUGAGUGAUGAAGGUCUUCGGAUCGUAAAACUCUGUUAUUAGGGAAGAACAAAUGUGUAAGUAACUAUGCACGUCUUGACGGUACCUAAUCAGAAAGCCACGGCUAACUACGUGCCAGCAGCCGCGGUAAUACGUAGGUGGCAAGCGUUAUCCGGAAUUAUUGGGCGUAAAGCGCGCGUAGGCGGUUUUUUAAGUCUGAUGUGAAAGCCCACGGCUCAACCGUGGAGGGUCAUUUGAACCUGGAAAACUUGAGUGCAGAAGAGGAAAGUGGAAUUCCAUGUGUAGCGGUGAAAUGCGCAGAGAUAUGGAGGAACACCAGUGGCGAAGGCGACUUUCUGGUCUGUAACUGACGCUGAUGUGCGAAAGCGUGGGGAUCAAACAGG
rnacentral:rRNA from 1 species